CCCAUGAAAGUGAGUCUGACAAGCGAGGGAUACCUGGUCGUGCUUGUCAGCGGAUGGGCUUCCUCACAGGGCUGAAUCUCCACACCACGCUGUCCUUUUCACGCUUUCCUCCCCUCAUCUCAUUGCUUGUUCUCUGGCUUCUCUUCCCUGUGAGAGUGGGAGCACUUCCUGGGAGGACAGGGCCCAGUGCAUCCUGUUUAUGUCUGUACCUCCGGGAUCCGGCCUCACACCCGGCACCGAGUGCACACGUGGGACAGUGGAUAAACGAACGGGUGAACUUGUGGCUCUGCUGUUCUAGAAACCAUCUCAGGUAGCUUUGGUGACAACGUGUACUUUUCGGUGCUCGCUGCGAGGAAUAGCUUUGUAGAUGGACCAUAGUGGAUUAGACCUGCCAGCCAUUUUCAGUGGUGACUUUGUCCUGAGACGGAACUGUUGGAAUGAGGAGGGCAGGAUUCAAUUCCAAGAUUCAGAAAAUUCAGUAUCACUGUGGCGUAAACCAGACAGGAGUUUAUUCCUGUCUCACAUAAACCGAGCCCAGGGGGAAGCGAUCCGCGGAAUCCUUAGGGCCCAGCCUUCCCCGACCCUCCACUUGGCCCUCGCUUGGCCCUUGACUCUCUUUCUCCUGGUCCAAGAUGGCAGCACCCGCGUUUCAGGCAGCAGGCAGAAUGAGGGGGAACCGCAGAGAACAAAACAAAAAUGCAGCCACAGGACACUUCUGCUUACAUUCCAUUAUCUAGAACUUCUAUGGCUGCAGAAGAGGCUGGGAUGUAACCUCUAUUCUGGGCGGCCAUGUGCCCGCCCAGGUUGAGAGGCUCCAACGAUGGUUUUGUCAGGCCACCAGCAAUCUUGGCCACAGUUGCGUCUGGGGAGAGGUCGCGUGUCUUCCUUCUCACUCCCUCUUUCACGUGCAGGGUGGGAACCAAGUGGAAGGUCUCAGGCCCCGUGCUCCUGUGCGGGGUCAUCGUUAGCUUUUCCUAGGAGCGGGGCAAGCUGGCCGCAGCGUGCUGUGAUUGGGUUAUCUGUGUUGAAUGGCACGAGGUUGUCCACAAGGCAAAUAUCAAAUUGCAGGGAGUAGGCUGCACUUAAAUGCGCUGGGCCAAAAAAACCUAAGAAACACACAAACAAAAAAGCCACCCUAAACCCAAGGGAAAUCUGUCAGGGCUUAGAGGCAGCGGUGAGCAGGGAGGAAGGCAGUAUGAGUUCAUGGUGGGGCCACGGUUUUGCUGCGUCGUGAUUGAAAGAGCGUUUACUAUAGGGUGGGAAUUUUAAAUCUCUUUUUAAAAGCAUGAGUCUCCGGGGAGUGUGCCGGAGGCGGGAACCGCUCCCCGGAGAGCAGUUUUGUAACUACUUGUAGCUGAGUUUAUUUUGUUUUACUGAAGUAUGCCAGGCUGGACAUUUCCUCCUGUUCUCAUGCUUCUGGACUCAAGAAUGCAGAGAGCACGCUGGCCUCCGGAAAGCAUCAUCAGCAGGAUGUGAACCAGGGACUCCCCCUUCGUGUCCAGAGGGCGAAUCACCUUGCUCCUGAGCCGUCAGCGUGGGUGCGGACUGGGGGCGCCGGGGAGAAGCAGGCGCUACCGGUAAUGGAAGUGUGAUGGGCUGGCGUCUCAGCCAAAGUACACUUGAACGUGAACUGCUGGUGUUUAUUCAAGUCGACUUCCUCACGUCCUAUGUCCCGGGGGCCUGGGCCGUCCCCGUUACUGCCAUUGCUGCUAUGGUGCGGGAUCCAGCGUGCUCAAGGUGUGUGCCUCUGGGCUGGGCUGAUGCCCAGGGCCGGGCUUCCUUUCGGGAGCCGCGUCAGUUUCCCUCUCAGCCGUCACACUCCUCGGCGGGCCAGAGCGACACAGGCAGGAGUGCGUGCAGUGUAAGUCAAUCAACGAAGCGAACAAAAUCCAGAGAAACAGCACCUGCCCUCGACUGAGCGCAUGCUGUGUUCUAGGUCCUGAAUGCCCGAGAUCUCAGCACCUCCUCAAGGCGGGGAUUGUCUUCUCACUUCGGGGGUCAGGAGAACAGGGUCGUACCAGUUGGGUGAUGUGCCUCCGGGUCUGUGUGUGAUGGGGCUUGGGGGUCAGGUGGGAUCCUCAAGCUGGGGAGCAGCCUAGCCCCAUGAAUGCUGCCAAGGGGCAUCUCUGUGGGAAAGAGGAGGCACUCUCCCUCUCGCGCGGGGAGCUCUGUGGGCUGUGGGGCGGAGCGACCUCCCACGUGGCAGCACCUGUUCCCUCCACAAACCGGCCAGCGCCGCCUUCCUGCCCUUGGGAGCAGACACUGCGGUUGACAAAGGUCGUCCGGCUUAUCCAGCCUCUGUUUUCCUGUGAUAUUGAUGUUUAUGCCAAGGUAACACCCGCACCUUAGCUUUGGGGUGGAAGGAACAAUUUCCCUCUGUGGGGUGUAAGAUCUCCUUUCCUGAACUUUCCCCUUAAUGUCCGUACCCGCAGCUGAACCCUUAGCCAUUUUGGUCUGUUGGUUUCCACACGUUUACUGGUUUAUCAAGCUCUGGAGGGAUGGCUUCAUGUAUUUAAAAUCCUCUGCCUGGAUGGGCGCUUGGGUGGCUCAGUCGGUUGAGCGUCUGACUUCGGCUCAGGUCAUGAUCUCGUGGUUCAUGAGUUUGAGCCCCAUAUAGGGCUUUGUGCUGACAGCUCAGAGCCUGGAGUCUGUUUGGGAUUCUGUGUCUCCUGCUCUCUGCCCCUCCCCUACUUGUUCUCCGUCUCUCUCUCUCUCCCCAAAAUAAAUAAACGUUAAAAAAAUAAAAAUAAAAUAAAAUCCUCUGCCUGGUAUAGCAGAGAAUGACAAAUUCUCAAAGACUGAUCGAUAGAUUUAAUAAUAAAAAAAAGCUACUUCCUCACCUCUGUGUCUUCUGCAAAGCCGUGUUUUAAUUCCAUUAAUAAUUUAGUUUUUUUCUCCUACGUCUAGUGGGAGAGAGACCUCAAAGUGUUUAGGCUUUAUUGUUCUGCUGAGCUAUUCAUGGGCCAAUGUAUUUCCUACUGCAUAAACCCAGACUGGACUUCGUGGACGGUGAUUACACUAAACCAACACCACAAGGACCCCACCUUACUCCCAGGUUAUGGUCAAAUAUGUGUGGAUGUUUCUGACAAGCUAUGUGUGAGAUGAGUGGAGGCCCAGGAGUCGGAUCCAACUGUGUUUGUGGCUGGUACAGAGGAAGGUGAGAUGUAUGCAGGAAUUUCACGCUCCUUCACUCUUGAUAGGUGCUGCUAGGAAUCUGGGUUAGAGUCAGAUUUGUGUUGGAUGCUCUGGGUGAACUCCUUAACUAUUUGUUUGUGGUACUGCUAAAUAUUUCCAGAUGUCAGCACCACACAUAUGCCACGAUGCUAUGAUUAAAGCGCUCAGUGCUGAAACUCUCUCUCUCUUUUUUUUUUUUUUUUAAUAAGAAAAAUGCAUAAGGAGAAAUUAAAUCUCCCUUUCUGUCUGGAACCCACCAUACAGAUCCUGCAUUAUUUACCAACCACAAGAGUUUUUCCUUGGCUGGUACAUGCGUCUCUCCUAGUGUUUUUUCCAGCUGCUCAUACAGACUUUGGCAAAGUUACUCACUAGCUCCGAAUACCAGGAUUACCCCAUUCUCGUUUAGCAGUUCAGGGAUUUGGCACCUGGAGGAAGAGCAAAGGCGAUUUCAGAAUCCCACUAAUUCCCCAAAUGGAACUAAGUGAUAGUCCCAGCCUCAUGGGGUUGUGUAAAGGCGGAAGAGGGCAUUGCGUGGAAAGUUAUCGACUACAGUGCCUGGUACCCACCGUGGUCUCAGGCAAGGCCAGUUCUUUUCCUGAGGAGGGUCACGUGAUACCCGACCAACAGAUUUUCGCAUUGGCUGGGGCGGGGACAUUGGAGCCUCUGGUGUGGGCUUGUCUGUAGUGGAGACAUUGAUCGAAAAUCUUGGGAGUGUUAUGCAAGAAAAGAAACAGGCAGAAAGAACAGUAGUUCUGGAGCUGAAAGUUUGAAUCUCAGACUUCUCUCUUCCUCCCUCAGUGACCUUAGGCAAGGCACUCACAGUUGACCCUUGAACAACACAAGGGUUAGGGGCACUGACCCUCUCGCAGUUGAAUAUCUGUGUAUAAUUUUUGACUGCUCCCCAGACUUACUACUGAUAGCCUACUGUUGACCGGAAGUCUUACCGAUGACACAAACAGUCGAUUAGCACAUAUUUUGUAUACGAUAUGUAUUAUAUACUGUAUUCGUUUUUUUAAAAAAUUUUUAUUAUUUACUUUGACAGAGACAGAACGAGCUGGGUAGGGGCAGAGAGAGAGGGAGAGAGAGAGAAUCCCAAGCUGGCUCUGCACCAUUAACGUGGAGCCAGAUGCGGAGCUCGAACCCACGUACUGUAAGAUCAUGACCGGAGCUGAGAUCAAGAGUUGGACACAUAACUGACUGAGCCACCCAGGCACCCCUGCAUACUGUUACAACAAAGUAAGCUAGAGAAAAGAAAAUGCUAUUCAGAAAAUCAUAAGGAAGAGAAAAUACAUUUCUAGUUUGGCAGUAUAGGAAAUCCACGCGUAAGUGGACCCCACAUUUCAAACCCUUGUUGUUCAGGGUCAACUGCAGGUUUACUGAGCUUCAGUGUCUUCAUUUGAGAUGGGAACAAUGCCCUUCUCAGAGCGCUGUGGGGAAAACAAAUAAGAAGUCUGGCUAAUGGGAAAUUAUGGAACAACAAAUAUGACCUCUCUUAUUUCUUGCAGCAAAGUUGUCACAAGAGCGUCACAUUCUCAAAUGUCUUCUUUGGUGUUACACAGGGGUUUUACCGUGGGUGCUGAUGAUUUAUUCAUUCAUUCAUCCAACAAAUAUUUACUGAGUCCCUGCUAUGUUCUACAUGCUGGGGAUCCCGCAGGCAACAAACAAAAGCUCUUGCCUUUAUUCAUGGCAUAUUCUAGCGACAGGAGACAGACUGCACACAUAUGGUAAGCACAAGCUACCUGUACAGGUGAUUAAUGACAGAUUCAUUGGGGAGAUUCCAAACCUGACUUAACCAAACUUAGGGAUCCGGUGACAUGGGAAAUCCACAGUCUCUAUGCCUACUGAGGCUUUUCCUGGUUAGGAUGACUUUGUUGUGCCCGCCCUUGGGGAUCCUCUAGUCCUGGAUGUCUUGUUUGGUCCUUGUCUGCACAGGCUCGGCAGCUCUGUGGGUCCCCACCCUUAGCUUGCUUCCUUUCCAGGUGACGGAUAUCCCUGGAGCUUUAAAGGAACACCCAGCUUCGCUUGAGAAAUAACCCAGGAGACCGAAUAGUGCUUCUGGCUGUACAGAGGACAUUCCAAAGAGUUCGAUUCUUUAUCGCAGACCGAGGCAUCUCCUUCAUGUUUCACUCAGUCAUCCCUCAAACUUGUCAGAUGCUCUCACACUGUGGUGUUUUUGUUAAUGAGGUUCCUGCAGGCUGGCACCUCUUAAAUCCCCGCCCACUAAAUCCUAUCCAUUCAUCCUGGUUCGGCCCAGAUGAUCCCUCUGUGGCAGAGAAUGUGAGCUACUCUGCAAGAUCCAUUCUCUUCUGAUUCUGGUGGUCAUAGACACCCUGAGCUUGAGCUGGACUCAUGGCAAAAAGUGAAACAUUCCGAGCCAUCCCUAAAGCGAAGUGCAGCUGUGUGACUCAGAACUGGCUCCUUCCGCCCUUCUUGCUGGCAGGAACGUGAACUUGGUGUCAGGACUUGGUAUCUUGGCAGAGCAACAAGUUGGAAGGGGCCUGGGUUCUCAACAUGGUGCAACUGUCCCAUCAGUCCUGGAUAAUUGGCGUCCAAGCGAUAAUCUGAGGGAAAACGAAAGCUUCCUCCCUCCCUCCCUUCCUCCCUCUCUCUCACUGUCUUUCUCAAGCUAUUGUUAUUUUGGUUUUCAUUAGAGAAUCCAAAAACUGAUAUCCUAAAAACUCCUCCUGUGCUGUGAAGUUCCCCCAACCUGCCUCUACCUAUAUAUCCCCAAAGUGUGCAAUUUUACCUCAGUUAGUGUUGUCCUAUGGCCAUUUGGGAACCCAGCAAUUUGUAUGAACUUCUAGUCCUUGACGACACAAGCCCUCGUAGAGCAGGAACCUGUCUUAUUAAAUGUGUACCCCCCCCAAUAACGAGCACAAUGCUUUGCUUUUAUUCUUCAUGUAUUUAAUGAAUGUCUGCUCCUUGAAUUUUUUGGUGAAUGAAGAAUGAUUCCCUGCCUCUCCUGGACUAAACUCUCUCUUUCUAAAGCAUCUUUGCCCGGUACAAAUACAAGGCAAGCCACAUAUGUAAUUUUGAAUUUUUUAGUUGCCACAUUUAAAAAAAAACGCAAAAGGAAACUGGUGAAAUUAAUUUUAGGUGUUUGUUUCAUUGAGCCCUACAUACUCAAAUGUUGUCAUUUUUGUAAGUAAUCGAUACAAAAAUUAUUACUGAGAAUGUUUUACAUUCUUUUUCUCAUACUAAGUCUUUGGAAUCUGGUAUGUGUAUUUUACACUUUUAGCUCAUCUCAAUUCAAACCAGCCACCGUUCAAGUGCUUAGUGGCCACCAGUGGUGAGUGGCUAUUGUACCAGGCAGCAUAGCUCUAGGGGAUCCCGAGCCAGCCCUGAAAGGGUGGGGAGGAUUUGGAUGGGCUGGAAGGGCAUGGAGGAAAUGCCGUGAGGCAGAAACAAGGAGUCUUUUUCUAGACGUUUCAUGGAACUUACUUGGCAUGGGGCUCUGCAAUAUAUGGGGUACUCCAGUGACUCUUAGGAACUGUUGAGUGACUUUAAUGUAGAAAGAUUCAUGUGGGAAGAGACAGAACCACUGACAAAACUAAAGAAGAAAUGGAAUCAGGAGAGAAGGGUGUCUGAGCGGAGCUCUGGGGGUCAUUGAAGCCAAACUCAGGGCAUAUCUAACGAUAUAAUGAAUAGGGACACAGCCUUGGCUGAGAGACAUGGUGUGGGGCUGGGUUUUUCACCGUUGCUGCCUAAGUGACCCUAGAUGAGCCAUUUCAACUCUCUGAGCCUCAGUUUCCUCAGGAAGCCCAUCUGGAAGCAGCACUCUGGUGGGAAGAGAGCAGUCUCUUCAAAGGAGCCAAAUUCCCAAUGGCAUGAUAAGGAGAAGCUCACUGGACCAGCUCUGACAACUCUAGGGUCACUGGACAAGGCAGACUCCACGGAUGCCCCAAAGGAAGGAGUUUUUCCUUGGGCUAUUGAAGCAACGGGUGGUUUCCAUCCAAGGAAGGACUGACUUUGCAAAAAGUGGAAACGCAGAGGUUGAACAAGGGAGGGGGCAGCCACCACAGAGUGGGGUGGGCACAGGCAGUUGUGGUACAUGGAAGGCAGGAGAGAGACAAUGCCUUUCUCUUUUCUCAUGGAAGUCCCUUCAUGGAGCUCUGGGGUCUACCAGGGAUUCUGAGUAGAUGGGGCACUAAAUGCCUCUGCAACCCAGACUGGGCUAUACAAGGGAGAAAUGGGGAAUCAUGACUGUCCUAUGGAUCAUUUGAGGGGGAAUCAGGAAAAGUCCCCAAGAACCCCUUUAAAGUCUCAGCUUUCCAGUAUCUCAGACCCAAGUGCUAUUUUGGCCGAAAUGUAUCCAGGUAAUGGCUACAGUUUUCUACAUAACUUUCCAUACUGUUCAUAAAGGACUUAGACCAUUCCCACCAAGGGCAUUGUGGGAGAAGGCUGUGUGUGCUAAGGGCUGAUUUGGAGUUGCUUUCAGGAGGGGAAACAGGUCCAGUGUCCCAAAGCUCAAGGUUCCAAUCACCGGAACAUAUGGAUGUCCAGGGAACAAUGGGACUUGCGGUCAAGGUGGUGGUCCGGGAAAUUUGAGUGUUGGAUCCACCAGAGAAUCUUAGAAACUUAUGACUUCGUACUUGGGAAGCUGCCAGUGUUUCUGGAAAUGGCUGUGCUUUGGGGUGAGAGCAGCUGAGGAAAUAAAAGCGUUAGGUCCAGGACCAACAGUCUGACACAAAAUCACCGAGCCAAUGCCGUGAGUAAGGGGUUGGCCAACCCCAAGGCCAAGUGUAUCUUUGAUGGAAAACGAAUUCUCAAGGAGGAAGCCUAUAAUUGGAUGAAGUCCUUGUCUCCCUAGCUUGUGGAAACAGCCAGACUUUCCCCCCUUGUUUUCCACAUGGAAUGUGAGUUCUCUAAGAUCUGGCCUGGGCCACAUGGGCUUCAACAUUUCCUCAUGGUGAUGCCUUCCUCGGACAGCCCCAUCUCGGGUGGAGGGGAAAAUGUUUCUGCUGUGGCGUCUGGGGAAGCACUUGUUACAAUCAAGGUGCUCAACCAAGGUUUGUGAGAAGGAUGCAUUCAUGAUGUUCGCCUCUGAACCAUUAAGGUUAAGUGACACUUGGCACCUCCUAUGUGUUCUUUCUGACUUCGUUCCUCACGCCUGGUGGCCCAGGGGGAGCUGGGAGCCUGCCUUUCAUGCCAGAGUCUUAGUAAUGCUUUGCUCCUCUUAUCUUCCAAUAAACCUGAUGAACACGUUCAUUCUAGAACGUUAGAGAUUUAACGUUUCACAGGCACACUGAGUGGCCCGCACUGACAGUUGAGAGCUAAACCAGCCGGGUACGGAUCAGGAUUGAGGCCACGGCCAAUUCACUUCACCUGUCCGAGCUUUCACUCUCUUAUCUGAAAAACAGGGAUGCUGAUCAUUUUUAUAGCUACUUCCCAGCGUCCGCAGAGUUCAACGAGAUGAAGAAAAUGCUCUUGGCGGUAGGCACACAGCAGCCACACCAGUGAUGGAUUCGCCGGGCAAGAGUCGGAAACGUACAGGCAUAGUUUUCUCUUUUGCCUUUCAAGUACAUAACCUUUAUGUCAAUUGGCUGGCACUGGAGAAGAGGCAGCAUAGGGGAGAUUGGGAUUCGUCACGGGAAAACCCUCCACCAUCCAUUUUAGUGACGUCGCUUCAAAACAGGGAGCUGACUGGACAGCUUUCAUAAAUACAGGGGUAGAGCUUUGAUUUUAAGCUGCGACGAGAACGAACACCAACGACACAGCCAAGCGCAGCGGGGAACUGGAGGGGAGCAGUGGUAGGGCCAUCUUCCGCUGGUUGCAAGCAAGACGGGGUGCAUUAUCUGAAGGGACUUUAAGACUGAGAAUAAAAUAAAGCCAAAAGUGAGUCUACUUUUUAUGGUCGCCAUAUAGGAGCAAUUGUAUUUUAUUUUGAAAGUUUAUUUAUUUUGAGAAAGAGAGAGAGAGUGUGAGAGAGCACAAGUCGGGGAGGGGAGAGAGAGAGAGAGGGAAAAAGAGAGAGAGAGAAUCCCAAGCAGGCUCCGCGCUGUUAGCACAGAGCCCAACACAGGGCUUGAUCUCACGAACUGUGAGAUCAUGACCUGAGCCGAAAUCAAGAGUCAGACACAUAACUGACUGGGCCACCCAGGCACCGUGUGGGCAAUUUUAAACAGUAUCUGAUAAAAUAUCCCUCCCCGCAAAAAUAGUGUUGUUAUUCUAAGUUCUCAACAGUUGUCACAAUGGCUGUUGAGUUUUAAUAAAAUAUAUAUAGACUUUUUGGCAUAUUUUUAUUACCUAUCCUUUCCUAAACGUUGUAUUCUCUGUGAAAGGUCACUUGGGGAACUCCCAGUAGGCAGUUGGGCCCCCCGCCCACUGAACACAUGCUUACCCAGCCACACGGUUUAUUUCGGGAGUACAUUCAUCAUAAUGGUCUGGAAGUAUCCAAGCUCACUUAGGGUGCUGUCCCUGUCUCCAACAGCCCCCCACCGAGGUGUGACAUAUUCCUCUUUUUAAAAAUAGUAUAUCAAUUUAGCGGAAUAUGAUCAACAAGAAUAAGGCAGAUCUAUAUAUAACGAUAUAAAAAUAACCUCCAAUAUGCAGCGUUCAGCGAAAUAAGCACUAUACAGAACACUGAAAAAUAUUUGAAAAAGUGACAUGUAUGUACGUAUGUAUGUUUUAUACAUGAAUAGAAUCUCCCAAAGGACAAAUAAGAAAUGCUAGAUUCAGAAAGAACGGUAGGGGCCGCUGGGUGGCUCGAUCGGUUAAGCUCCUGACUCUUGAUCUUAGCUCAGGUCUUGAUCGCAGUGUCCUGAGUUCAAGCCCCACGUUGGGCUCCAUGCUGGGCAUGGAAUCUACUCCCAGUGUGGAGCGUACUUAAAACAAAACAAAACAACAACAACAACAACAACAAAACAAGAUGAAUGGUAGUACAGUGAUCUUAAAGACAAAGACACGUACUUGAGCUGCCUCAAUUCUGUCAUCCGCGUGACUGCUUGGUGAUUUCGUGUAUGUUAAGAAUUUAGCCCAGCCGAGGCUGAGGGUGAAGGGGAAGGUGUAACAUUUUUAGUUGGUAGUGUAAAUAUCAGUUCAUACAUGAAAUGUUUCGCAGAGCCCAAGCGCUGUUUUUCACACUGGCAUUCAUUUCUCUUUCUCAAUUCUUAAUGGUUCAUUUUAAAGCUAACGAACUCAUCAAGGGGUAAUGGCUAUUACCGAUUAUUAUGUGAUUCUUAGAUGAAUAACUUGGCCGCAUAGAGAGGGGAGUUUUAAAAACUGAUUUGCUCUGGGUG